AGAGUUUGAUCCUGGCUCAGAAUCAACGCUGGCGGCCGCCUAACACAUGCAAGUCGAACUAGAAAGUGGAGCAAUCCAUGAGUACAGUGGCGUAUGGGUGAGUAACACGUGGGUAAUCUACCCUUUGGUGGGGAAUAACUCUGGGAAACCAGAGCUAAUACCGCAUAAUCCUGAGAAGGAAAAGCAGCAAUGCGCCGAAGGAGGAGCCCGCGGCCGAUUAGCUAGUUGGUAGGGUAAAAGCCUACCAAGGCAAAGAUCGGUAGCCGGCCUGAGAGGGCACACGGCCACACUGGCACUGAAACACGGGCCAGACUCCUACGGGAGGCAGCAGUGGGGAAUCUUGCACAAUGGGGGAAACCCUGAUGCAGCGACGCCGCGUGAGCGAUGAAGCCCUUCGGGGUGUAAAGCUCUUUCGGCAGGGAAGAUUAUGACGGUACCUGCAGAAGCAGCUGCGGCUAACUACGUGCCAGCAGCCGCGGUAAUACGUAGGCAGCAAGCGUUGUUCGGAGUUACUGGGCGUAAAGGGUGUGUAGGCGGCUCCCUAAGUUUGGUGUGAAAUCUCCCGGCUCAACCGGGAGGGUGCGCCGAAUACUGAGGGGCUAGAGUGCGGGAGAGGAAAGUGGAAUUCCUGGUGUAGCGGUGAAAUGCGUAGAUAUCAGGAGGAACCCGGUGGUGUAGACGGCUUUCUGGACCGUAGCUGACGCUGAAACACGAAAGCGUGGGUAGCAAACAGGAUUAGAUACCCUAGUAGUCC
rnacentral:rRNA from 1 species